rnacentral:rRNA from 1 species
AGAGUUUGAUCCUGGCUCAGGAUUAACGCUGGCGGCGUGCCUAAUGCAUGCAAGUCGAACGUGGCCCCUUCGGGGGACAACGUGGCGGACGGGUGAGGAACACGUGGGGAACCUGCCCAUUGGUGGGGGGUAGCCCGCGGAAACGCGGGGUAAUUCCGCAUACGCUCGCUUGAGAGUAACUCAGGUGAGGAAAGGGUCUUCGGACUCGCCGAUGGAGGGGCCUGCGUCCGAUUAGCUAGUUGGUGGGGUAACGGCCUACCAAGGCGAUGAUCGGUAGCUGGUCUGAGAGGACGGCCAGCCACAGGGGGACUGAGACACGGCCCCCACUCCUACGGGAGGCAGCAGCAAGGAGUUUUCCGCAAUGGGCGAAAGCCUGACGGAGCAACGCCGCGUGGGGGAUGACACCUUUCGGGGCGUAAACCCCUUUUCUUGGGGACGAAGCAGUGACGGUACCCGAGGAAGAAGGCCCGGCUAACUACGUGCCAGCAGCCGCGGUAAUACGUAGGGGCCGAGCGUUGUCCGGAGUUACUGGGCGUAAAGCGCGCGCAGGCGGCUCGUCAAGCCUGACGUGAAAGCCCCCGGCUCAACCGGGGAGGGUCGUCGGGGACUGGCGGGCUUGAGGUCGGCAGGGGCUGGUGGAAUUCCCGGUGUAGUGGUGAAAUGCGUAGAGAUCGGGAGGAACACCCGUGGCGAAGGCGGCCAGCUGGGCCGGACCUGACGCUGAGGCGCGAAGGCGUGGGGAGCGAACGGGAUUAGAUACCCCGGUAGUCCACGCAGUAAACGAUGCAGACUAGGCGUGGGGGGACUUGACCCCCUCCGUGCCGAAGCUAACGCGUGAAGUCUGCCGCCUGGGGAGUACGGCCGCAAGGCUAAAACUCAAAUGAAUUGCCGG